GUUUGUCUUGCAAUUUUGACUUCAUUAUUCAGUGAUGCAGGAACCUUUGAUGAUGGAGAAUCCUACAGAAAUACACGAAUUACUAAGUGGGAGAUGAGGCGGAGACUUGUUUUCAUCUGUAAAUUUGCAGUGAGUGCUCGUCCAUCUAGAGGAAAUUUGAAACAGGUCUUUGCAUUUCUCACUGGACAAAGAUCGCCCUCUUCAUGUUCACAUUGUAGGAAUGCUAACCAGGAAGAAUGUUGCUAAAUGGAAACAAAAUGGGAAGUGUGGCAGUCUCUUGUUUUAACCAGUGAAUCUGCAGUAAAAGCUGAAUCAUCACUUCCCUUCUGGAGAAAGAUCAGACUCUUUACUUUCGCAUUGUAGGGAUGUAAAGGAAGAAUGUUGCUGAGUGG
rnacentral:misc_RNA from 1 species